UUUACCAUGAAUUGUACAUUCAAGACAGUCAAUAACCACAGCACCAUGUAUGUGCGAUGGUACAACUAUGGGACUGAGGGACUAAAGAAAGAGUUGGUGAAUGAGAGCGAUGUGCUCACAACCCUGCAUUUGGACAAUGGGUUUGCCUCUCUCACUUUGAAGAAUGCGAAUUCAUCUGAUACAGGAACCUAUGUGUGUGAGGUGGGGAUCACAGCAAGGAACCUCUCUGGGAAUGGAACAGGAACCCAAGUGACCAUCGAGACUGUUGACCUGCUGGUGAAUCAGAGCCCUGCCUGUGUCAAGGAAGAGGAAGGAAAAAAGCUGACCAUAGAAUGUAGAUUCAGGGCCCUGGAGAAACCCAGCACCAAGUACUCUGUUAAAUGGUAUAAAAACGGGACCGAUGGAGACGAGAAGGAGCUGAAAAACGAAACGGGCUCAGUCACAACAACUCUAGAUUUCUCAACGGGCCUGGCUUCUCUGACCUUGACUAAAGCCAGCGUGAGUGAUUCUGGGUUCUACAGAUGUGACUUCGGUAAAAAUGGCCAUGGGAAUGGAACCAGAGUGACGAUCCAGGAUAAAAGGAGCAAUGCCUCCCACGUUGUUUUCGUCAUCCGGAUGGUUCUCGGGGCCCUUGUUAUAAUCUCGGCGGUGAUGAUUGUUGCAGAGUGCGUGAUUUCAGAGAAGAGGGGUGAGUGAAAUGUCUUCAGUGCAGUCCCUGUGCAGAAUCAGCCACAGAGCUUGAGUUACACGCGAGGUCCUUCUGCCUUUUCCUUCUGGGCAACUUCCCAGUCCCAGUGCGUUGAAAUCGAAAAGCUGUUUCAGACCCGGCUGGGACUGUUUCCUUGGCCUGUCUGUUCUGGUUUCUGUCUAACCAGAAAUCCGGGUAUCUCAGAACUAGAAGCACAGAGUUUAGGUCUCCAUCUUGUAAAUGUUCCUGAAGGCCUUUACCUCUCAGGUCUCCCUUUCACAGCACCGAUGAUCUUUUCCUGUUGCUGCGUCUGUCCAACGUGCCCUGUUUAUUUCUGGCUGGCUGGCACGCACGGAGCUAAUGCAACCACUUGGACAAGUGUGCUGCACGUACUGCAGGAGUAUUCUUUAGGUUCUAACUUACUGAGUCUGAUUUUUCCCCACAGCUGGUGUCAAUCGGACAAUAUGAGGAUUAGCUGUUAUAGCGUACCCUUGGAGAUGGAGCUCUCAGACACCUGUUACCCAGGCAUUCCCCCAAACACCGUGUUGACCAACCAGCCUGUCAGAUUCUGCACCUGCAAAUAAACCUUGAACAGAAGGGAGGGGAUGCUGGAUA
rnacentral:lncRNA from 1 species